rnacentral:rRNA from 1 species
CCUACGGGUGGCAGCAGUGGGGAAUAUUGCACAAUGGGGGAAACCCUGAUGCAGCGACGCCGCGUGAGUGAAGAAGUAUUUCGGUAUGUAAAGCUCUAUCAGCAGGAACGAGACAAGACGGUACCUGACUAAGAAGCCCCGGCUAACUACGUGCCAGCAGCCGCGGUAAUACGUAGGGGGCAAGCGUUAUCCGGAAUCACUGGGUGUAAAGGGAGCGUAGACGGCUGUGCAAGCCUGAAGUGAAAGGCGGGGGCCCAACCCCUGGACUGCUUUGGGAACUGUACGGCUGGAGUGCAGGAGAGGUAAGUGGAAUUCCUAGUGUAGCGGUGAAAUGCGUAGAUAUUAGGAGGAACACCAGUGGCGAAGGCGGCCUGCUGGACGACAACUGACGGUGAGGCGCGAAAGCGUGGGGAGCAAACAGGAUUAGAUACCCGAGUAGUC